UACGGAGGGUGCAAGGCGUUAUCCGGAUUCACUUGGGUUAAAGGGUGCGUAGGUGGGUCUGUAAGUCUGUGGUGAAAUCUCCGAGCUUAACUUGGAAACUGCCAUGGAUACUAUAGGUCUUGGAAUACUGUGGAGGUUAGCGGAAUAUGUCAUGUAGCGGUGAAAUGCUUAGAUAUGACAUAGAACACCAAUUGCGAAGGCAGCUGGCUACACAAAUAUUGACACUGAGGCACGAAAGCGUGGGGAUCAAACAGGA
rnacentral:rRNA from 1 species